GACAGAGGGUGCAAACGUUGUUCGGAAUUACUGGGCGUAAAGCGUGUGUAGGCGGCUUUGCAAGUCGGGUGUGAAAGCCCCAGGCUCAACCUGGGAAGUGCACUCGAUACUGCUAAGCUAGAGUGUCGGAGAGGUUGGUGGAAUUCCUGGUGUAGCGGUGAAAUGCGCAGAUAUCAGGAGGAACACCAAUUGCGAAGGCAGCUCGCUGGGACGUUACUGACGCUGAGACGCGAAAGCGUGGGGAGCAAACAGG
rnacentral:rRNA from 1 species